ensembl:lncRNA
UUUUUUUUCAGGUGUGACAUGAGAAUUGAGCUGCAUUUGAUUGAAUAGCAGCUAGCUCCUCCUUAGGACGGAUAAGUAUCAAGUAGAAGAAGAAAAUGAGCAAGAAGCUAGUUUCUACAGUGAACAAAAAGCAGCUCUCAUCUUUUGUGUGGUGGUGAAAGUCAAACUUUCAGAAGAAUUUUCUUCAGGAACAGUUCAAACAACAUCCAAAGCUCCUCUGUGUGGCCCUUCAGCUCCUUGUCUUAUAGGAUAUGUCUUCUUUGUCCCUGCUGCUCGGAUCUCACCCAGUGGCCUGUGGCAGACUCCUCCUAAACCUGGAAAAUUCUCACAGGUUUCUUCAAACACAUUUAGGAAGAAAAUGCAACUGAAAAUGGCAAAUACAAAUCCAGGUACAGGAAUGAGAGGCGAAACUGAAAUUCAUGGAUUAUUAAGUCCUGAAGGAAACAAUGAAACAGGAAAAAAACCCUUUCCCUGAGGAUAACAGAUGAAGAGUUGAAGCUCCUUGCAUUCCACUCAAGCCAAAUUUUGGAAGAGGAUUAUAGACGUGGUCAAGAGGGAAAUGUUGGGGAACACUAUCAAGUCUAUCCAUAUAGCACAUUAAAAGACUUUUUCUUCACUUGACUCUGCUAAUCCUGUCAGCCAUUGUUGGUUUUAUGCAUAAUUUUCAGGCCAUGACAGACUUUAAAGAGAAAUGCUCAUAUGAAUUUGAGAAAUUUAUAUGAACUUUUAAUAUUAUCACAAUAGUUUUCUGCAAAACACCAAAGAGUUUCUGUCAGAUACAGUGACAAUUGCAGUUUCCCUUCUAGAUUGUAAACAAAUGUGAUUUUAAAUGAUACCAUCCUAUCCUUUAGACAACUGAUAAAAUUCUUUCCUCACCUCUCAUGUUUCAUUAAGGUGUGUCAUAGGUUUUUUCAAUGCAACAAAAUAAAAAAUCACUACACUGGUAAGAUCAUCAUGGCCAGCUCAUUUAUUUAACCUAUGAAUUUGCAAAAAGAAGAGUAUAAGAGUUCUCAAAAUAUAAAGUCUUACUUAUAAGGACAGUGAAUGAGGAUGGAUUUUACUUUUUAAGGUUACUUUCUGUAUAUAGUCCUUGCUCUGUGUCAUGCCUUGGAGUUGUAGCAGAUUCUCACCCACUGAAAAUGUAAAAUCAGAAAAUAUGUUUUUUUCUCAUCCUGACACAUUAAUUGGUGUUUCCAGUUUACUGGUAUAAUUCCUUUUAUUUCCAAUUAAAGUAAAUGCUAGCAAAAUUAAAUGUCUCAAAGGACGAUACAGUUUGAAACGUACAUCCUUAAUUUAAUGGAGUUGUAAAUGCUUUCACGUUAGACAGGGGAAGGUCAAAUUCUUAAACAUUUCCCUACAUGCACAGCAGAAAUAAAUGCCAUUCUAGUUAAAUCCAGCUAGUCUGAAUUCCUAGAAACUCUUAUAUCUACAUUUAGAAUCUUUUACUGUCUAAUACUGAAAUUUUAUGAAGUACAAAAGUAUUAUCUUUAAUCAUCAUGCCAGAUACUCUUUAUAGCUGUUAAUCGAGAGAUAAUAAACCUGUACAUGUGUUUCUAUGCUUAAGAACUUUUAUAGUGUGUGACUUCUUACAGCUAAGAAAACAUAACAUGCUUUUAAAGAGAGACAGCAGUAAUUACAGUAGCAUCAAAUAAUAGAUUUAAUUAUUUUAGAAACCAACCUAUGAUCAAAUUUAUUAUGAUUAUGUUUACAGACUUGACACUUCUACCACAAUUGCUAGUAAUUUUGCACUAACAGGCCCAAAAUAUCUUUAAAAGGUACUUAAGUAGGUUGAUUUCAAUUAAUUUUCUUUCAGUGAAGGUGAAAAUAUAUUUGAGACAAUACCUCAUAUUUUUACUAUUGUUAUUACUGACUACAGUUAUAAGACUUCACAUUCAGUCUUUGAGUCAUACAUAACUUAACCUGAU